AGCGUAAUUUUCUUGGAGAGUUCAUAUUAAUAGGAAAGAUUGCGACCUCGAUGUUGGAUUAAAAUUAAAUUUUGGUGUAGCAGCUAAAAGUUUAGGUCUGUUCGACCUUUAAAAUUUUACAUGAUCUGAGUUUAAACCGGCGUGAGCCAGGUUGGUUUCUAUCUCUAUAAAGAUAAUAUAUUUUAGUACGAAAGGACCAGAUAUAUAUUUAAUAAAUUAUGAAUAGAAUAUUAUUAUU
rnacentral:rRNA from 1 species